rfam:Hyphomicrobium sulfonivorans strain WDL6 contig_7, whole genome shotgun sequence.
AGGCUUUUUUUCUGGCGCGUCUGGCUCUAUAUUCACAAUGCUGGAUUCGUCCAGCUAUGGCGAUAAACGCGGUCGAAAUAAGCCGUUCGGACCCGGGGGCGGUACCCGGCGCCUCCACCAAUUUCUCCCUGCCGCACUGUGCGACCGUCUCCCGCAAGGGAAAAUGGCCGCUAUCGGCAGGGAACCAUGGGGGCGAACUAGGAUCGACGAAGGUGUAAAGGGCUUAGCUUUUGCUCGGCAUGGUUCCGCCGUUAUCGGGCCGUUCAGAAUAGUUGCAAAUGACAACUAUGCUGAGGCUGCUCUCGCUGCGUAAUGCGGCGCGAAAUGCCUAAACUAAGUCCUUGCCCUUAGCCGGGUAAGGCGCGGUCCGGAGGGCACCGGGCAACAGAAGCCCUCCAUU